rnacentral:rRNA from 1 species
UACGUAGGGACCAAGCGUUGUUCGGAUUUACUGGGCGUAAAGGGCGCGUAGGCGGCAAUUCAAGUCAUCUGUGAAAUCUCCGGGCUUAACUCGGAAUGGUCAGGUGAUACUGCUUUGCUAGGGUGCAGAAGGGGCAAUCGGAAUUCUUGGUGUAGCGGUGAAAUGCGUAGAUAUCAAGAGGAACACCUGAGGUGAAGACGGGUUGCUGGGCUGACACUGACGCUGAGGCGCGAAAGCUAGGGGAGCAAACGGG